rnacentral:rRNA from 1 species
UGUAUGAAGACUGGUGGCAGUAGCUUCCCGGUCAAAGCUGCUCAAAACUGGAAUUCACUCCCACCUUCUCUAAGAGAAGACAUGCCCUACCCACGCUUCAGAUACAACCUUAUCCAAUGGAUUAAAGAGCAUGACACUUGACCCUCUACCUCACUGCCUUUACUGCCUUACUACUGCCCUCUUCUGCCCAUAAUUGUAUAUAUUGUGUAUAACAUUUGCUUGAUGUUCUCUACUAAUACUUGCUCAUUUGUAUGACAUAGACCAGCAUUGUUUAUUGUUUAUUAUCUUUCUGUAUUGUAACGCACAGCAAUGUAACCUAAGCUGAACAAUCCUCUUUUCCUUCCUCUGCGCCCUAAUACCCUUGGGUCUGGUGCGCAUUACAAAUAAAAUAAACAAACAAACAAGAGAGAGUUCAAAAGGGCUUGAAACCGUUGAGAGGUAAACUGGUGGGGUCCGUGCAGUCCGUCUGCAGGAUUCAACACGGCAGGAAGGUCGGUCACCUGGAAUGGGGGAUGCCUUUGUGAGACUGCGGCCCGGGUAGACGCGGCCCCCGCAGGGCACAUUUCCUCUGUGGGUUUGCACCGCGACUGCUGGGAAGGCCCCAGGGGGCAGGUGGCUCUCUGCUCCGGCAGAGAGUGUUACAGCCCCUGGACAGCAGCUUUGCAGUGUCCGUGGGGCCAAGGGAGAUUGACAGCUAGCAUGCCCUUCUCCGGCAACCGCCCUGGCCCCUCUAGGGGGUCACUGGGGCAGGACGGGAGACAGGGCUCCCGAUGCGACUGGUGCGGACUGCCCUUAGUGCACCCUGACCACGUUGUGCCACUGGGCAGGGAGCCCCACAAAGGGUGCCAGGGGUCUGAGGUGAUUUCGGUUAACCACCCGCCCUGUCUUGAAACACAGGCCCCGGAGUCUUAAAACGUGCGUAAGUCAGAGUGCCAAAUGAAACCCUGUGGUGCAAAGAAGGUGAGGGCCGCUACGUGCCGAUUGCAGUGGGACCCUGUCGCGGUGGGCGCACCACCGACUCGCCUCACCCACUCUGUUAGGAAGAUGGUGCAUGAGCGUGUGUGAUAGGACCUGAUAGAUGGUGAACUAGGCUGGUGGAGAUCCGUAGCGGUCCUGAUGUGUAAAUCAGUUGUCCGAACUGGGUAUAGGGGCGAAAGACUAAUCGAACCAUCUGGUAUCUGUUUCCCUCUGGAGUUUCCCUCAGGAUAGCUGGCGCACGGAAACACCAGUUUAAUCUGGUAAAGCGAAUGAUUAGAGGUCUUGGGGCCAAAAUGAUGUCAACCUAUUCUCAAACUUUAAAUGGGUAAGAAGCCUGGCUCGCUGGCAUGGAGCCGGGCAUUGAAUGCAAGUGGCCAGUGGGCAACGUUUGUUAAGCAGAACUGGCGCUGAACCGAACGCCGGGUUAAGGCGCCCGAUGCCGACGCUCAUCAGACCCCAGAAAAGGUGUUGGUUGAUAUAGACAGCAGGACGGUGGCCAUGGAAGUCGGAAUCUGCUAAGGAGCCCCGGGGAGAGUUCACUUUUCUUUGUGAAAGGCAGGGCACCCUGGAAUGGGUUCGGCCUGAGACAGGGGCCUGAGCCUUGGAAAGCGUUGCGGUUUCCAGCGGCGUGCAGAGAGCUCUUGCUGGUCCUUGAAAAUCUGGGGGAGAUGGUGUAAAUCUCGCGCCGGGCCGUACCCAUAUCCGCAGCAUGUCUCCAAGAAGAACAGGCUCUGGCAUGUUGGAACAAUGUAGGUAAGGGAAGUCAACAAGUCAGAUCUGUAACUUCGGCAUAAGGAUUGGCUCUAAGGGCUGGGUCGGUCGGGCUGGGAAGCAGAGCUGGGCAAGCGCCGCGGCUGGAUGAGUCGCCUCACCCUCCCUCACCUCGGGGGCGGUGCCGACUCUGGAUGUGAGCCGGGCCCUGCCUGUGGAUCGUCCCAGCUGUGGUGCUCGCCUCUAUCCUUUCCCCUCCCGGGGUUAGGGGCUGACGUUCUGCCUCAGUCGACGCCUAGCAACUGACUUAGAACUGGUGCAGACCAGGGGAAUCUGACUGUAAACAGCAUCGCAAAGGCCUGCGGUGGGUGUUAACGCAAUGUGAUUUCUGCCCAGUGCUCUGAAUGUCAAAGUGUAGAAAUUCAAUGAAGCACAGUUAAACGGCGGGGGUAACCAUGACUCUCUUAAGGUAGUCAAAUGCCUCGUCAUCUAAUUAGUGGCACGCAUGAAUGGAUGAACGAGAUUCCCACUGUUCCUACCCACCAUCUAGCAAAACCACAGUCAAGGGAAUGGGCUUGGCGGAAUCAGCGGGGAGAUAAGACCCAGUUGAGCCUGCCUCUAGUCUGGCACUGUGGAGAGACAUGCGAGGAGUAGGAUAAGUGGGAGGCCCUUUGGGCAGCCAGUGAAAUACCACUAAUCUUAUUGUUUUUUCACUUACCCAGUGAGGUGGGGGCGAGCCCGUGGGGCUCUCAUUUCUGGCCCCAAGCGCCUGGCACCCGCUGUGCGCAACCCGCUCCGGGGACAGUGGCAGUUGGGGAGUUUGACUGGGGAGAUACACCUGUCAAACAGUAACGCAGGUGUCCUAAGGCAAGCUCACGGAGGACAGAAACCUCCCACAGAGCAGAAGGGCAAAAGCUCAGUUCAUCUCGAUUUUUCAGUAUGAAAGCGGGGCCUCACGAUCCUUCUGACUUUUUGGGUUUCAAGCAGGUGGUGUCAGAAAAGUUACCACAGGGAUAACUGGCUUGUGGCGGCCAAGCGUUCAUAGCGAUUUCGCUUUUUGAUCAUUGUGAAGCAGAAUUCACCAAGCAGUGGAUUGCUCACCCACUAAUAGGGAACGUAAAAUGAGUUUAGACCAUUGUGAGAAAGGUUAGUUUUUACUCUACUGAUGAUGUGUUGUUGCAAUAGUAAUCCUGCUCAGUACAAGAGGAACCGCAGGUUCAGACAUUUGUUGUAUGUGCUUGGCUGAGGAGCCAAUGGGGCGAAGCUACCAUCUGUGGGAUUUUGACUGAACGCCUCUAAGUCAGAAUCCCUCCUAAACUGUAACGAUACGGCAGCGCUGUUGAGCCUCAGUUGGCCUAGGAUAGCCGCCCUCUGGGCUGGUGCGUAGAGCCGCUCGCCUCGGGACUCAAGUGUGGACAGAAGGGGGUCUCCUCUCUCACCCGUAGUGUACUGGAUUUUCAUGGGGAACCUGGUGCUAAAUCAUUCCUAGACGACCUGGUUCUGGUUCAGGGUUUCGUAAGUAGCAGAGCAGCUACCUCGCUGCAAUCUAUUGAAAGUCAUCCUC